AACGUAGGAGACAAACGUUAUCCGGAGUUACUGGGCGUAAAGGGCGUGUAGGCGGUUUGUUAAGUCUGGCGUGAAAGCUCUCGGCUAAACCGGGAGAGGUCGUUGGAUACUGGCAAACUUGAGGACGGUAGAGGCGUGUGGAAUUCCGGGUGUAGUGGUGAAAUGCGUAGAGAUCCGGAGGAACACCAGUGGCGAAGGCGACACGCUGGGCCGUACCUGACGCUAAAGCGCGACAGCAUGGGGAGCAAACGGG
rnacentral:rRNA from 1 species